rnacentral:rRNA from 1 species
CAGUCGCCACGGUAAUACGUAGGUGGCAAGCGUUGUCCGGAAUUAUUGGGCGUAAAGGGCUCGCAGGCGGUUUCUUAAGUCUGAUGUGAAAGCCCCCGGCUCAACCGGGGAGGGUCAUUGGAAACUGGGAAACUUGAGUGCAGAAGAGGAGAGUGGAAUUCCACGUGUAGCGGUGAAAUGCGUAGAGAUGUGGAGGAACACCAGUGGCGAAGGCGACUCUCUGGUCUGUAACUGACGCUGAGGGGCGAAAGCGUGGGGAGCGAACAGGAUUAGAUACCCGGGUAGUCCCUGUCUCUUAUAC